AGCAAUAAUGUAGGUUACCUGGCAGGGGACUAUCAUGUGACACUGCUUCACUAAGUCUGUAAUAAUAGUUUUGCCAGCUGAGGAAACAAGAACAUGGUAACAUGGCCACUGACCGACGCUGUCACUGGUCUGUGCAUUGCCUGUCUUGUUUUGAAAAGUGUAGCUAAACUUACAUAUUUCUGCUGAAGCCCUUACUUGACUAUAAUGUUUCUGAAUAUACAACUUACAAUAAUCAUGUAUUCUACAUUAUCUAAUAGUUUUUGGUAGAAGUAAAGCAACUUUUGCUGGGGAUUCUAACCUGAACAGCACUGAAUGCUUAAAUCUAAUGCACCUCCUGCCAAGUCAAUGGAGUGUAAAAUAUUUAUGUAUUUUAAUCCUUUUUUUGCAUAUGGUGGUGGGAGAGCUCCACUGCUCCUGUGGGGGAAUGCAUGCCAUCACACUGCAGCAGCAUUUCAGCCAGCCUGUCCUGGCCACACAAUGACUACACAGCCCAAGAGUGACACCACCAUUGAUGAGAAACCCGAGGACAACCUCUGGCUACAACUGGGCUUUACUGUGGACUCUGAGACAGAUGCCUACUCACUACUGCAGACCACCACAGACAAGUUAGAAGUCCCAGGAUACUGAGAUACAGUACUUAGAGUGGAAUGGGAUCAACUUGUAUAAGAUAUAUACAUGCAUUGGCAGAAGAGCUCCAAAGUUUGCUUAAUGUUGUAGAUGAGUAUGGAAAUGACUGUGAUGUGAGAUUUUAGUAGUGAGAAAGCAAGCUGAUGAUGGUGAAAAUAUUCCAGAGGAAAAGAGAAAUUCAUGAUGGAAAUUGGGAGGGAAUGAGUUGCAACAGACUGAUAAAUGGAAGUACCUGGGGAUGUGGAUGAGUCCAAAUGGGUGUGUAGAGGUGAAGAAUGAGAAAAUAGAUGUAGUGAACCAGUGUCUGGGUGAACUAGUAAGUGCAGCAAGGAUGAGAACAAGUAAAUGUGAUGUACUGUGAAAAAUUUGGAAGAGCUUGGUUGCUCCAAGCAUGUGUGAUUCCAUGGAAUUUGAUUGAAUUAGAGAAAUGAAAAAUAGGGCAGCAUAGAAUGACAAGGAUGGCACUGAAUGCACCAAGGUAUGUAGCAAUGGAGGCUUUGAGAAAGACCUGUGAAAAGCAUGUGUGUUAGAUUAGAAUGAAUUGGUGAUGCAAGAUUAAUGAGAAAUAUGUUUCUGUGGGAUAUUAGGAGAAACAGG